CGGUGGUGGUGGUCACAUGGUGUUUGACGUCUGACACCGGGAGAUGCGCUGGAGGCGUCAUGACGUCAUUUUCAAUGGACGGACCGGCGAACAGCGUCAGCUGUUCCCUGCACAUGGUGAUGGUGGAGGUAUUUAGGUGUUGCUGUUGGGAUGUGGUCAGAAUCCUUACUCUCACAAUGCUGACGGAUGCCCAAGGUGGAAGUGAAUGGGGAACACAGUUUCCACCACACCAAGGUGCAGAAACCUGAUGCCUUGGACUCGGACACCAUUGCUGUUGCGGAGAGAGCGCAUGGUCUAAUCUGGGAGGUGUGAUCCGCCCCCUCCCACUACCCGGGUUGCAUUCCCAGGUCACUGCAAACUCCAAGACCAAAUCCCACUGACACUGGAAGCUACAACCAGCGGUUUCAGAUUCUAAAGAGCACUUAUUUACAACUUUUCUGAGAUUGCAGGGUCAGGUCCCUUCCACCUGGCUGCUAGGGGACAGGACAGAACACUAACCAUGAGGCAAGCUUAUAAUAGUAACAUUGACGUUUCUGUUUAUCAGUAACAAGACAUUCUCAUUUGGUUUUGAUUGUAAAAUUGUCACACAUUACAACUAAAUUCUAUAUUUAUCCACUUGUUACAUUACGCCUACUCAA